rnacentral:ncRNA from 2 species
AUGUAAAUUUCAAAAAUUGGGCUUCAUAGAGGAAACUUUAUGAAUGUAAGACGUCAAAUUCGGGGAAACCUUACAGUAUUGUUGGCAAUCCCGAGCCAAGCUUAGCAAAAGCUAAGAAGGUGUAGAGACUAGACGGCGUCUACCUAAAGCUGCAAAGCUAAGGUAAAGGGAUAGUCCAGCGCACAAAG